GGAUGUGAGGGCCAUUUGGCUCUGAUGUAUGUCACCCAGUUAAUUGCCAGGGUUGAAUGAGCUGAUCUGGCUGGCCAGGCAGGGUCCCUUCAUCCCUCACCACUCUGUGUGCACCACUCCCAAAGUUGCAUGAUAAGUGAAGAAGAUGACCUUCCCGAGAAGAGGAUGUCAAGGGUAUACAAGUGUCUGUGCCCCAACAAGCUUUCAAGACAGGAAGAUGGGAAGUGGACACGCUUCCUUAUUU
rnacentral:snRNA from 1 species